rnacentral:tRNA from 1 species
AGUUCUGUGGUGAAAUUCAUGUUGAGUUGCAAGCUCAUUGAUGUGUGUUGAAAGCACACCAGGACUU